GUGAAAUAUUCUAGGGUUUUCUAUGAUUUCCUUUAAAUGUGGUUGAAACUUUCCCUGCUUCUUUUAGGCUACUAUUGCAGGGAUGAAUUUCUUGAGGUGAAGAUGGAAAAAAGAGGUAGAUGAUCUUUGGCCUUACCCUGAGCACAGGAUGGAGUGCAGUGAAUAUUUUUACAUCAUGAGAUGAAACUGGAGAUAUGCAGCCCUACUCAUGGCUCCUCUGAAUGCGAGUAUAUGCAAAGCUGGUCCUUCUGCCAACCAGUUAAACAUGUUUGUGUUAAUUUGAAGUCAAGGAGAUUCCUCAGGUUCGUUUCUGAGCCCCAUAGAGAGUGUGGCUGAUUAAGAGUGGAGAGCUGAAAGAAGGAAAAUGAUCUGAGAAUAACUUUCAUUCUUGAUACCACUCAAAUUCAUCUGUUGAAUGUAAAGUGAGGAAGAAGCCCUGGUGCAUUUGUAGAAUCAGAGACAUUCACUCAAUGCCCUGGAAAUAUCUUUGCCCACUUUCAGGCUUGCUGUUCCUGUCUUGCUUAUUCUUUCCUAUUCUCAAUUUACUUGAAAAGAAAACUGAAUUUACACACUCUCCUGAGAAAAUGGUUUAUCCUGGAAAGCAGAAGUCAGUCUGAUUAUGAAAAAAAGCUAUGACUAAAUUAAACACAUAAAUUCUGUCAUUUUUAAUUCUUCAUCCACCUUUGCAAUACCUGCCAGGGUACAAGAAGGAACUUUGUACUCAUUUUUUUUCUUGUAGAAAUUUAAAAUGGGUUGCAGGUAUUCGUCUCCUCAAUUGUUUCAAACUUUCCUGUCAUUGUAUCUCACUGAAAUGUAAAUUAUUACUGAACACUAAUCUUCACAUGAAAUGGGGUCUAUAACAGUGAUUAUGAUAGGAAGAUUCAAUGCAUAAAUGAGAUGAAAUUAAAGUUGGUUGAAAAUGUUUAAACUUUUGAAUUUAUAGUGAAAGGAAGAGUAGCUUUAGUGAAAGAUGCUUCUUUCAGCCAGCUGUGAAUAAUGUGUCUUUAUAUACAUAUACAUACACAUAUACACAUAUGUGUGCAUGUGUAUUUGUUAUGUCCCAUUGGACAGAAUACACUAAUUAAAACAAAAGCCAAUCCAACUGAUAAACAUAAUGUACAUUACAAAGACAGGCAAUAAAUGUAGUCGUGUUUGUAUAUGCUGCUAUCA
rnacentral:lncRNA from 1 species